rnacentral:rRNA from 1 species
GACGAAGGGGGCUAGCGUUGUUCGGAAUUACUGGGCGUAAAGCGCGUGUAGGCGGCUUUGCAAGUCGGGUGUGAAAGCCCUCAGCUCAACUGAGGAAGUGCGCCCGAAACUGCAGAGCUUGAGUGCCGGAGAGGGUGGCGGAAUUCCCCAAGUAGAGGUGAAAUUCGUAGAUAUGGGGAGGAACACCGGUGGCGAAGGCGGCCACCUGGACGGUAACUGACGCUGAGACGCGAAAGCGUGGGUAGCAAACAGG